GAUGAACGCUGGCGGCGUGCCUAAUACAUGCAAGUCGAGCGAAUGGAUUAAGAGCUUGCUCUUAUGAAGUUAGCGGCGGACGGGUGAGUAACACGUGGGUAACCUGCCCAUAAGACUGGGAUAACUCCGGGAAACCGGGGCUAAUACCGGAUAACAUUUUGAACCGCAUGGUUCGAAAUUGAAAGGAGGCUUCGGCGUUCACUUAUGGAUGGACCCGCGUCGCAUUAGCUAGUUGGUGAGGUAACGGCUCACCAAGGCAACGAUGCGUAGCCGACCUGAGAGGGUGAUCGGCCACACUGGGACUGAGACACGGCCCAGACUCCUACGGGAGGCAGCAGUAGGGAAUCUUCCGCAAUGGACGAAAGUCUGACGGAGCAACGCCGCGUGAGUGAUGAAGGCUUUCGGGUCGUAAAACUCUGUUGUUAGGGAAGAACAAGUGCUAGUUGAAUAAGCUGGCACCUUGACGGUACCUAACCAGAAAGCCACGGCUAACUACGUGCCAGCAGCCGCAGUAA
rnacentral:rRNA from 1 species